rnacentral:rRNA from 1 species
CAGUAGCCACGGUAAUACGUAGGGUGCGAGCGUUAAUCGGAAUUACUGGGCGUAAAGCGUGCGCAGGCGGUUCGUUAAGACAGAUGUGAAAUCCCCGGGCUUAACCUGGGAACUGCGUUUGUGACUGGCGAGCUAGAGUAUGGCAGAGGGGGGUAGAAUUCCACGUGUAGCAGUGAAAUGCGUAGAGAUGUGGAGGAAUACCGAUGGCGAAGGCAGCCCCCUGGGCCAAUACUGACGCUCAUGCACGAAAGCGUGGGGAGCAAACAGGAUUAGAUACCCGCGUAGUCCCUGUCUCUUAUAC